GACGAACGCUGGCGGCGCGCUUAACACAUGCAAGUCGAACGGAAAGGCCUGCUUUCCCUUGUGGAUUGCGGGUACUCGAGUGGCGAACGGGUGAGUGACACGUGAGUGAUCUGCCCCCAACUUGGGUAUAAGCCUGGGAAACUGGGUCUAAUUCCCGAUAGGACUGCAGGGUGGGGCCUGUGGUGGAAAACGAUGUUCUAGUGGUUGGGGAUGAGCUCGCGGCCUAUCAGCUUGUUGGUGGGGUAAUGGCCGACCAAGGCGGCGACGGGUAGCCGGCCUGGGAGGGUGGACGGCCACAUUGGGACUGAGACACGGCCCAGACUCCUACGGCAGGCAGCAGUGGGGAAUAUUGCGCAAUGGGCGGAAGCCUGAUGCAGCGACGCCGAGUGGGGGAUGACGGCCUUCGGGUUGUAAACUCCUUUCGACCGCGAGGAAGCCACCUGGUUGGAAGGGUGGUGACGGUAGUGGUAGAAGAAGCACCGGCUAACUACGUG
rnacentral:rRNA from 1 species